GAUGAACGCUGGCGGCGUGCCUAAUACAUACAAGUCGAGCGAAGCGGGGACGGGUGAGUAACACGUGGAUAACCUCAUAUAAGACUGGGAUAACUACGGGAAACCGGAGCUAAACCGGAUAAUUAUAGAUGGAUCCGCGCUGCAUUAGCUAGUUGGUAAGGCAACGGCUUACCAAGGCAACGAUGCAUAGCCGACCUGAGAGGGUGUUCUGCCACACGGGAACUGAGACCCGGUCCAGACUCCGACGGGCGGCAGCAGUAGUGAUUCUUCCGCAAUGGGCGAAAGCCUGACGGAGCAACGCCGCGUGAGUGAUGAAGGUUUUCGGAUCGUAAAACUCUGUUAUUAGGGAAGCGGUACCUAAUCAGAAAGCCACGGCUAACUACGUGCCAGCAGCCGCGGUAAUAC
rnacentral:rRNA from 1 species